rnacentral:lncRNA from 13 species
GAAUCAGACGAAUGACGAGUUGAAUCAGACGAAUGACGAGUUGAAUCAGACGAGUUGAAGAGAGAGAUGGAGUGAUCUCUAAGAGCGAAGGAAAGCAGAGCAGACAGUUGUGUGGAAUCUCCUUCCUCUAUUUCGUCUGGACAGCAGCCAGCGGACGAGGUUGGGAAGGAGGAAGAGAAGGGGGUAGGGGAGGUAGGAUCCGAGGCUUUGAUUCUGCUUCGCUCUUCAAGCUUCCAACAGAUAAGAUAGUCUGCAGAGAGAUAAGGACAGCCUGCCUUCCUAUCACAGGGAUAAGGACACCCUGCAUUCCUAUCAGAGGGAUAUGGGCACACAGACAGACACAACAUGCAAGGGGGGGGGGUCUCUAUCUUCGGGUUCCCUCUCCAAAGGCAGGGUAAACAUUAGUGAGCACCCCACACCCUAAAAUAGUAGUACUCCAAGACAAUACCUGAUCUUAUGACUGUUGAGUCUGGGAUUUGAGUUGAUAACUUGUCCUUGCAUGUUUUGUCAUUUGUAGAAGGGUAUCUUGUAUAAUUGUAUUAAGUUGACAUGGUGCUCAGUUACAUAAUGCAAAUGAAUGACAGAGUUUGCGUUUAAGCAAUAAGGCACAAAAGGAAAUACUGUAUCAUGAAUUCAGUGACAGGUAAGGGGUGUUGUUCAGCCUGAUGUAAUAGCAGAGGGCCAGUCAACCCAUUUACCCAUGACUGUAUUCAUGAUACUGCCUUGUGUACCUAAUUCCUUUUAUAAAACUGUUACCAACAUAUUUACGUAACAAUUAAUUACAUAUUUUAAUUUAAACUUUAUUUUGAUAAGUCAAUACAUACAAUUGCAUUAUUCCACCUGAAGAUCUAGCCUGGGCAAAAAUCAGGUUGUAAGUUAUUUUGGUCAGGUUGCUACAGAAGCCACCCAGUUGUUAAUUGUUUUUGAAUAGUUGCUAUGCAAAAGGACUGGUCUUCCGUUCUAAACAAAAUGGUUGCUAUGCAGGCUGGAUAACGUUCUUGUCACUAGCUAGCUAGCCAACUUCAUCUAACUCAGUCACGUCAAACAUUGAACCUGGACAGACCGUACACUAGCUGCAUUUGCGUUUUCAUUUUUUCGACUGGCAUUUACACUGAACAAAAAUAACACAACAAGUAAAGUGUUUUUAAUGAGCUGAAAUAAAAGAUCCCAGAAACGUUCCAUACACCCAGAUAAUCCAUUCACCUGACAGGUGUGGCAUAUCAAGAAGCUGAUUAAACAGCAUGAUCAUUACACAGGUGCACCUUGUGCUGGGGGACAAUAAAAGGCCACUCUAAAAUCUUCAGUUUUGUCACACAACACAGUCACAGGAAUGUUUUGGUACGGGCAGGCAUAAGCUACGGACAACGAACACAAUUGAA